GAUGAACGCUGGCGGCGUGCUUAACACAUGCAAGUCGAACGGAAAGGCCAGUGCUUGCACUGGUACUCGAGUGGCGAACGGGUGAGUAACACGUGGGUGAUCUGCCCUGCACUUCGGGAUAAGCCUGGGAAACUGGGUCUAAUACCGGAUAGGACAAUGGUUUGGAUGCCGUUGUGGAAAGUUUUUUCGGUGUGGGAUGAGCUCGCGGCCUAUCAGCUUGUUGGUGGGGUAAUGGCCUACCAAGGCGUCGACGGGUAGCCGGCCUGAGAGGGUGUACGGCCACAGUGGGACUGAGAUACGGCCCAGACUCCUACGGGAGGCAGCAGUGGGGAAUAUUGCACAAUGGGCGCAAGCCUGAGGCAGCGACGCCGCGUGGGGGAUGACGGCCUUCGGGUUGUAAACUCCUUUCGCUAGGGACGAAGCGUAUUUGUGACGGUACCUGGAGAAGAAGCACCGGCUAACUACGUG
rnacentral:rRNA from 1 species